GGGCUGUGUGAGGACACAGUGUGUGAUGUAAGAUGCUUGUACAUAUUUUUGUUGACACAUUUCAUCGUUGACAUUAGUUAACUGCUAAUUAAUUAUUUUGUGCGCGUCUUUUAAAAGGCCGCGGUGUUGGCUAGAGUUUUAUGCGUUUUUUAAAUAAGCGUUUUGUUUUUUGUUUUUUUAAAAUGAAGCGUCAUCAGUUUCCGGGGAAAGUCCGCCAGCAUUUCGCUUUCAAUUCAGAUGCGACGGCACGAUUUAAAUGUAAACCAGUGUAAUUGUUUUACAUUUUAUUACAAAACGUAAAAAUAAUUAAUAUCGACUGGACUGUUUGUAUAUAAGAAGCUGGAUUCGGGAAGCUGCAAGAACAAAACUGACCACAGCGAUGAACGCAAAUCGGAGUUACUGCUUUAAUUCAUAUAUGGAUGGAUUUUUUUUUCAUCUUUUAUGCGGAAUAUAUUGAUGGAGGCACAUGUUGAGGAUGAUCUUCAGUGGAUCAAAAGUAGCCCUGGCAUGGUUCACCUCUACAUCGAAGAUCAGACAAAGGAAGGACAGAGUCUGAUGGUUGUCUAUCGACAAAGGAACUAUGCCUUCAGCAAAGAAGGAAACAGACAAAGACAUGUCUAGAAAAAUAUAUGUUCAUUUCAACAUACAGAAAAAUGAAGUCUGCAGUCUGUGCUUAUAGUUUCACAUCUUUUUUUGCGUGUAUGUGUGUGUGUGGUUUAUUUCCCAGAUGGUAUUCCAGUCUCGGGUUUGAAACCACAGAAGCUCGCACACCCUCUUUGUAUCUUCAUGGUGUAGCUUUUGACUGUUUAAAACACGAUGUGUUUAAACUUCUGCUGCUGAUGCCGUAUUGUCGCGGGACUUCGUACUCGCAAAAAGUCAUGAACUACAACAUCGUAAACCGAACAAAAGGUGUUAUGCAUGAGCAGCUGUCAUCGGGGGGUGUCAUCAACCUGACCUCUUUUGGAUUAGUUAAUGAUUAUUUGUUUAUUAUGUAGUCGAGUUGUUGCGUGACACCUCGCGUGUAGCCAUUUUUUUUUAAAUGACAGAAAAAGCUGUAUGCAAAAGACCUCGCUAACGUGUAACUCAAAGCUGCUUUGUUUCAGUGAAGCCAAUCAUGUUCUUCUACUAUGUUUUGGACAGCAUCACUACAUAAAGUUAUUUUGUGCUUUUUUUAUUAUAUUAUACUAUAUUAUAAUUUCCUAUACUUUAUCUAGUCAUUAAUGUCGGUAACUGCACUAACAGCUGCAGGUCAUUUUCACAGGUGUUUGAUUUCAAAGGACUAAGGAAACAUUGUUGUAUUUCCGAACUCCCAUUGAACUACACUUUUAUACGUUUAUCAGCACGUUGGAGGCCAUAGCAGCUGUCACAGGGUGAGAGGUGGGGUACAUUCUGGAAAAACUGUCAGAAGCUUUUAAGAUAACUGUAGAUUUUGGAAUCACCUGUAAUUGUUUCUAAUUGAUU
ensembl:lncRNA